AACGAACGCUGGCGGCAUGCCUAACACAUGCAAGUCGAACGAGACCUUCGGGUCUAGUGGCGCACGGGUGCGUAACGCGUGGGAACCUGCCCUUAGGUUCGGAAUAACUCCCCGAAAGGGGUGCUAAUACCGGAUAAUGUCUUCUGUCCAAAGAUUUAUCGCCUUUGGAUGGUCCCGCGUUGGAUUAGCUAGUUGGUAGGGUAAAAGCCUACCAAUGCGACGAUCCAUAGCUGGUCUGAGAGGAUGAUUAGCCACACUGGGACUGAGAAACGGCACAGACUACUACGGGAGGCAGCAGUGGGGAAUAUUGGACAAUGGGCGAAAGGAUGAUCGAGCAAUGACGGGUGAGUGAUGAAGGCCUUAGGGAUGUAAAGCUCUUUUAACCGGGAUGAUAAUGACAGUACCGGGAGAAAAAGCACCGGCUAACUACGUG
rnacentral:rRNA from 1 species